CUCCUUCUGGCGGCGGUUGCAGAACCAGACACGAAUCACUUCCUUCUCCAUGUUCAGUUGUUCGGCAAUAAGUAGGAUCUCCUCUGAGAUCCUGCGCCUACCUCUGCUGCUUACAGUGACUGGAAGAACUCCAUUUCUGGUGAUGAAAUUUCUACAAUAUUGCUGUGUUUUAUCAAAUAUAAAUCAUUGAGUUUGGGCCACCGAUAACCCCUAUACAUUGGGAUGGAUAACAGACUCCGGAACGGCACAUGAAGAGCUCCAGCCGCACCUUCUCCAGUUCCAAGGGCUUAGACAUUCUUACUUCUAUGAGAAAAAGGAAGGAAAAAGAAUGGAAAGGAAAAUGCA